GUAUUGUUGAAGAAUCCUAUAAUAGGACAAAACGGCCGUCCAAUAC
rnacentral:hammerhead_ribozyme from 1 species